CAUGGUGUAGCAAUACACUGAUGGCGACCGGCAAACGGGUGCGGAACACGUACGCAACCUUCCUUUAACUGGAGAAUAGCCCGGGGAAACCCGGAUUAAUACUCCGUAACAUUAUGAAGUGGCAUCACUUUAUAAUUAUAGCUCCGGCGGUUGAAGAUGGGCGUGCGUCUGAUUAGGUAGUUGGCGGGGUAACGGCCCACCAAGCCUACGAUCAGUAACUGGUGUGAGAGCACGACCAGUCACACGGGCACUGAGACACGGGCCCGACUCCUACGGGAGGCAGCAGUAAGGAAUAUUGGUCAAUGGACGCAAGUCUGAGCCAGCCAUGCCGCGUGGAGGAUGAAGGUCCUCUGGA
rnacentral:rRNA from 1 species